UCUGCUCAAAAUGUUUUUUAAAUUGCUGUGGUAUUUUGACUAUACGAAGGUAUUGAAAUAAGAUUUUAAAUGAGUGCUAAGAGAAUGGUUGAACAAUUAUAAGCUUUCUUUAAUUUAAUAAUUAAAUUUAAUUUUUUUGUGAAGAAGCAAAAAUAAAAAUUAGGGACAAGAAGACCCUAUGAAUUUUAAUUUAUUUAUUAUAUAAAAUGUGUUAAAUAAAUUUAAUUGGGGCGAUUGGAAAAGAAUAAAUAUCUUUUUUUAAAUAAUUUUUUAAAUUGGUUCCGUUUUUAGCGAUUAAAUGAAAAAAAUACUCUAGGGAUAACAGCGUAAUAAUUUUGGAUAGUUCAUAUUGAUAAAAUAGUUUGCGACCUCGAUGUUGGAUUAGGAUUCUUUUUUGGUGAAGAAGUUAUAAAAAGAAGUUUGUUCAACCUUUAAUUUCCUACUUGAUCUGAGUUCAGACCGGA
rnacentral:rRNA from 1 species